rnacentral:lncRNA from 1 species
AGAGAGACCUAGGCUAGUCUGUGGAGAAGACCAGGGCUUGAGGCUUCCAAAGCUUAAGGGCAGGAUUGGCAGGGUCAGAUGCCCACAAAGGCUGGCAAAAAAUGCGGAUGAGUGAAGUGGAGCUGAUAGGUCCAUAGUAUAUAAGAGAACGUGGCAGGCCAAAUUAAGGGGCAGGCUACUGCUACUCUACCCCAGCCAAUUGUUGGAGUGCAGGAGGGUGAGUCCCAGGUUGCCAACUCUUCUGAUUUUUCUAGGGAUGCCUGACAUUGGAAUUGCCAUGCAAAGUCUUCUAUUUUAAAUGUUGGAACAAAUCCUUUAAAGUGUUACAAAAUAUUUCCAGGCCAAACCCGAAAAUGCAUGUGGGCUAGUUUUGGCUUGUGGACUCUCUUCUGAUUAGGAGUUUGGAAAAAUCUCCAACUUCUUUUGUCUCCCUAGGAGUCCUUUGGAUUAUAAUAAAAAAACCAUUCUGAGAAUGGAGAUGAGAAAAGAGGAAAUGUGCACGGGGCUGCCAGGCUGGUAUAUGAAUGUCCGCGCACUCACUCUCCCAGGCAAAACACAAAAGAAACCGCCCCCAGGGAAGCUGACUAGGCCACUGUGGCGUGUCACUGACAUCGGAAUUACAUUAAAUUAUCACCACACGAGUGCCUUCCACUGUUGUUAUUUGUGUUCCAAAAUAUCCCAAUGAAUUCUAAAAGGAGCGUUAUGUUCCCUUAAAGAGAAAAACCUAAUGUUCUGUCCUUUAUUAGAACCCACUCAGGAAAAUGAGCUCAUUGUGCAUGUGAGCCUUCCCUCCUCUCUGGGGGCAGAGAAGGAAACAGGGAGAAUUGAUUAAGGCUUUUGAUUAGUUCACCGAAAAGUUUUCUUUUGCUUUUAUUGUUGCUUUGUCUUUCCCCCAACAGAACUCCACCUGAUGGUCUCAGAUCAGAACCAAUGUGAAGAUGUGGUAUGUGCACUGGCCUGAAGGGCAGGGGGAGGGCCAUGGUUCAUCUCUACUGAGAGGCUUCCCAGGUGGUUGGACUAAGUGUCAUCCUCCCAAUUCCUCACCUUGGUUCACAAACAAAUGAUAUUUUUUGCUAACAUAGUGC